UACGAAGGGGGCUAGCGUUGCUCGGAAUCACUGGGCGUAAAGCGCACGUAGGCGGAUUGUUAAGUCAGGGGUGAAAUCCUGGAGCUCAACUCCAGAACUGCCUUUGAUACUGGCGAUCUCGAGUCCGGGAGAGGUGAGUGGAACUGCGAGUGUAGAGGUGAAAUUCGUAGAUAUUCGCAAGAACACCAGUGGCGAAGGCGGCUCACUGGCCCGGUACUGACGCUGAGGUGCGAAAGCGUGGGGAGCAACA
rnacentral:rRNA from 1 species